rnacentral:rRNA from 1 species
UACGAAGGGUGCAAACGUUGCUCGGAAUUAUUGGGCGUAAAGCGCACGUAGGCGGCUUUGCAAGUCCCAUGUGAAAUCCCACGGCUCAACCGUGGAAGUGCAUGGGAAACUGCAGAGCUUGAGUACUUAAGAGGAUCGCGGAAUUCCCGGUGUAGAGGUGAAAUUCGUAGAUAUCGGGAGGAACACCAGUGGCGAAGGCGGCGAUCUGGGAAGAUACUGACGCUGAGGAGCGAAAGCGUGGGGAGCAAACAGG